AAAAUCCGUUGAUUUUAUAAAUCGUGAGGGU
rnacentral:tRNA from 1 species